rnacentral:SRP_RNA from 1 species
UCCAGCGGGCUCCGCGAGGGGGAGCCGCGAACCGGGUCAGGACUUAACCGUAGCAGCCCUAAGCGGGGUACUCUUGUGCGGAGCCCGCUCGCCAG